rnacentral:tRNA from 1 species
CAGGGGUUAGUUUAUUAAAAUGCCGGUUUUGGGGAUCGAAGAUAGAAAUUUUUCUACCCCUGA